rnacentral:rRNA from 1 species
UACGGAGGGUGCAAGCGUUAAUCGGAAUUACUGGGCGUAAAGCGUGCGCAGGCGGUUUGUUAAGUCUGCUGUGAAAUCCCCGAGCUCAACUUGGGAAUUGCAGUGGAUACUGGCAGGCUGGAGUAUGGUAGAGGAAGGUGGAAUUCCCGGUGUAGCAGUGAAAUGCGUAGAGAUCCGGAAGAACACCGGUGGCGAAGGCGGCCCGCUGGGCAGAGACUGACGCUGAUGCGCGACAGCGUGGGGAGCAAACAGG